AGAGUUUGAUCAUGGCUCAGAUUGAACGCUGGCGGCAGGCCUAACACAUGCAAGUCGAACGGUAACAUUUCUAGCUUGCUAGAAGAUGACGAGUGGCGGACGGGUGAGUAAUGCUUGGGAACUUGCCUUUGCGAGGGGGAUAACAGUUGGAAACGACUGCUAAUACCGCAUAAUGUCUUCGGACCAAACGGGGCUUCGGCUCCGGCGCAAAGAGAGGCCCAAGUGAGAUUAGCUAGUUGGUAAGGUAACGGCUUACCAAGGCGACGAUCUCUAGCUGUUCUGAGAGGAAGAUCAGCCACACUGGGACUGAGACACGGCCCAGACUCCUACGGGAGGCAGCAGUGGGGAAUAUUGCACAAUGGGGGAAACCCUGAUGCAGCCAUGCCGCGUGUGUGAAGAAGGCCUUCGGGUUGUAAAGCACUUUCAGUUGUGAGGAAAAGUUAGUAGUUAAUACCUGCUAGCCGUGACGUUAACAACAGAAGAAGCACCGGCUAACUCCGUGCCAGCAGCCGCGGUAAUACGGAGGGUGCGAGCGUUAAUCGGAAUUACUGGGCGUAAAGCGCACGCAGGCGGUUUGUUAAGCUAGAUGUGAAAGCCCCGGGCUCAACCUGGGAUGGUCAUUUAGAACUG
rnacentral:rRNA from 1 species